AUUGAACGCUGGCGGCAUGCUUUACACAUGCAAGUCGGACGAGUGGCGAACGGGUGAGUAAUGCAUCGGAACGUACCCAGUAAUGGGGGAUAACUGCCCGAAAGGACAGCUAAUACCGCAUACUAUUGGAGCGGCCGAUGUCUGAUUAGCUGGUUGGUGGGGUAAAGGACCACCAAGGCGACGAUCAGUAGCGGGUCUGAGAGGAGGACCAGCCACACUGGGAGUGAGACACGGCCCAGACUCCUACGGGAGGCAGCAGUGGGGAAUUUUGGACAAUGGGCGCAAGCCGGAUCCAGCCAUGCCGCGUGUCUGAAGAAGGCCUUCGGGUUGUAAAGGACUUUUGUCAGAGAAGCGGUACCUGAAGAAUAAGCACCGGCUAACUACGUGCCAGUCGCCGCGGUAAUAC
rnacentral:rRNA from 1 species